rnacentral:rRNA from 1 species
AUACGUAGGUGGCAAGCGUUAUCCGGAAUUAUUGGGCGUAAAGAGUGAGCAGGCGGUUAAUUAAGUCUGAGGUUAAAGCGUGGGGCUCAACCCCAUAAAGCCUUGGAAACUGAUUGACUAGAGUACGGGAGAAGUGAAGGGAACUCCAUGUGUAGCGGUGAAAUGCGUAGAUAUAUGGAAGAAAACCAGUGGCGAAGGCGCUUCACAAGCCCGAAACUGACGCUCAGUCACGAAAGCGUGGGUAGCAGAUAGGAUUAGAUACCCUAGGAGUACACGCUGUAAACGAUGACAACUAAAUAGUGCCGCGAGGCAGUGUUGAAGCUAACGCAUUAAGUGGUCCGCCUGGGGAGUACGGUCGCAAGACUGAAACUUAAAGGAAUUGACGGGG